rnacentral:lncRNA from 1 species
CAGAGGCUAGAGCUCAGGCUCAAGCAGGCCAAGAAGGAGUUAACCUCCAAGGAGAAUGCGGGCUUCUCCCAGACUGGAGGUCUGUGCCCAGUUUUGCUGGUGCCAACUCCGGGAAGAAGUCCUGGGAUCUGUAGUUUGUGCCACCACCCACCCCUGGCCUGCCUGUUUAUCAACACGGUCUUGUAGACUACAGUUCCCAGAAACCUGCAGAGGCUAGGCUUUGGGGGAAGGGGUGGGGAAGGAGGCUCCGUGGCGGCCAGAGGGAGAGGGAGAGGGAGGAGGUGGGGAGAGAAAACCCAAUUCACCCCCUUCGUUUUUAAUUCUUUCUCCUGGUGUGUCUGCUCCACCGCCCGAGCUAAUCCCCCAAAUCCGGUCUCCUAAGCCGCAGCUGCUUCCCUUCGCAGUGAUGAAUGGCUCAGGGAGGGAAGAUCUCUGGUGAGUGUUCCCCCAGCCUGGCGUAGGGCAUGCCCCAGUUCACUUUCGCCUGCUUCUGUGGUCUCCACGGCUUCUGCAAAAUGAAGAGGAAGAAGGAGGAAGUUCACAGAGAGCGGGAGACGGCGGUGUGAUCAGAACCAGGGCCCCUCCAUCAAGCCCCCAGCAGGUCCCAGGCCUGAUGGUGCCUGCUUCUGGCUGGGGCUUGGAGCAGGAAGCCGUGUGUGUAUCUUAAGUCUUGAUUUAGCCAGUGCUCUUCUCAGCCUGACUCUCACCCGAGGGCAUCAGCCUCCUGUGUGCCUCUCAUCCUCCUCAUGCCCACACCCAUUAGCUUCCAAUUCUCAGACCUCCUUGGAGAGAGGCCCCAGCCACACAAGGGGGAACCCCAGGACCUGCCGCAUGCCUUCCAGAGACUGAGAAGCCCCAGGGAGGCCAAGGAGUGAAACUUCUUUCCUGCCCUGAGAGCUUCGGGGGACUCUUCUCAGGGUAACCGCAUGAGGCAUGUGCCGCCUUGGGCUAGGAGAGCUGUUGCUAAAUGGGAAACUGGCUGCUCUAGCAGAGAACUUCCAGCAGCCCUGACCCUGGAGAAGGCCUCCAGGGCGGAAGUGUGAGACUCUCCUGGGAUUCCAGGACCUGGGGCAAGAAUCCUUUUCCAGCCCCCUGCCAGCAUCCUCCUGGGCCAGGUGGGGCCAGGCCUGAGGUGGCCAGCCCAGUGAGGAGGAAGGCAGAGGUGGCCAGUGGCUCCGUGGCUCCCUCUGUUCUUGCUCUCCAGAAAGCAGUGUUUCCUCCAGCCCCGGCCCUGACCCACCCGUGUUCAUGAUGCCUGUGCCUCCUUGCCAGCAUCACAGAUGUGGGGAGGCCUGUUCCCCAGGCCCUGACUCCCCUCCUCAGGGACUGUCUUGCCGUGGCCAGACUGAGGGACCCCUUUCCUGGACUGAGCCGUGCCCUCCCUUGAUUCUCCUGUCUCCCCUGCCUUUUUCUUCUCUCCUCAGAAGCCAUAGAGGGGACUGCGUUCAUAUGUGGUGCCUUCAGUGGAAACUCUUAGGGUGGGGGGACCUCUAGGACCUUCCUCGACUUUUUCCCUCAUCCCCCACCCCCGCCAACCUUCCAGCUUCAGCCUCUGCCCUUACCCCCAGCCCAUUUCCAGGAGGUAGGAAGCAAAAGAAAAAAGCAUUUCCUUCCCUCUUUCCUUCUUCCUUCCUUCCUCUCUCCCUUCAUUUUGGUAUAACUUAGCCUUUUGUCUUUAAUCCUGGAGUUCUCCGGGGCUAGAAGACAGGCAGAGACGAAUGCCAGCAGCAGAGAUGCUUCAGGCAGAUUCUGUAAGCCUGUUCUCCCUCAUCAGGGAGCAGCUCAGCCAAGGAGCAAAGUCAGACCCCCUCUAGCUCCCCAGGGACAGAAUAGCCCUUCUGACAGGUAAACAGGUGACCUGGGUAGAGAGGGCAAGGCCCCAAGAUAGGAGAGUCAGGGCUCCCCUUUCCUUGGAAUGUGGGCCUCUCUGGGCAACUAGGGAGGGCAAAAGUCUUCCUCGGCUGGUUCGCCCAAAACCUGGGAGAAGCAAGGGCACAUUCUAUGCUGGCAGCCUCUGCCUGCCCAGCUCAUGCCCACACUCAGGGGCCUUUCCUGGGCUUUGGGCAGAUUGGGUGGGAUUCAGGUUGUCUUUAUGAGGCUUGAGCACAGCUUGAGUUCCUCCUCCCAUCCUCCAACCCCUUCCUUUGCCCCUACCUCCUAGCCCCCACCUUCUACAAUCUGUUAUUUCCUUUUAUAUCCAAAGAAUUAUAAACAGAAGUCCUUCCCUCAAGGGAACAGCAAGAUUCAGCAAUAAAGGCCAGUGGGGUCACAAAGGACAGAAGAAAAACUCCCUGGUUCUUUGUCCUCUUGGAUAGUAGAGGCCUUGGGUGAGGCAAAGAGAUGGGCAGAAAAAGUUACCUUGAUACAGAGGCCAGAGAGCCUCCUGGAGGGCAUGUGUUUCCCUAGCGGUCACCUGCGAGGCUGCAAUCCUAGAAAAGUCACUUCUGUGGCAGAGGAUGAAAUUGUAUCCCCGGAGACUCAGAGAUAUUGGGUGUUAUGUCCUGACCACACAGGCUCACCAGGAGGAAAGGUUAGGAAAGUGGAGAAAGUACGUCCUGGGGAGCGGGUGGCCGAGGAGAGCUUUCCCCUUGUGCGCCUCUCAGGCCUUGGCAGGGAUUGCAGCUGCAGGGGUUUGGCAGUGAGCCCAUCCAGAGAGCUUCCUCCCCCGGGAGAACUCCCUUGGCUCCAGAGGGAUACUAGAUAUCUUGAGCCCUGGCUUUGGGAACAUGGGUGGGGUCCCAAGGUCAAAGUGUUCUGAGUGGAGGUCCAGUUGUCCUCUGCCUCCAAGCCGGCAGCCCCUUCUUCACCCAGGGCUGAGGUUGGGGCCAGCACUGCAGCUGGAAUUGUCUGAGCAGGAGGUAGCAGCUUCUAGCCAGGCACACCCCAACCCCACAUUCUAUUGUCCCUCAGUUUCCUUCUCAGGAAAAUGGGGACUUUGCUCCUUUUAGCAUCUCAGGAAGCAGUCUGGACACCUGUGCCCUCCUCUAGGCCCUUGGAUGAGCCCAGGGAAUAGGGAAAGGCCAAAGCAGCCCCAGCAUUCGCAGACCCUGCGCCCUGGGCCUCUGACUUCGGGCCAGGCUUCUGCUCCUUCUAGGGUUGGCCUGGCUGCCCUGCCUUCCCAUCCUCUCUCCAUGGUUCUCUCCCAGAGACUCCACCUUGAGGUGGGGGCCCUGAGCUCUUGGGGUGAGGGAGGGGCACAUGGGUAGAUGAUUCUGUGGAGGAGAUCAGGCCUCUUGUUCUUGCUGCGUGGCACUGAUUCCUCCUUGCAGAUGGGUGAGGGGGCCAGUUUUCCCCAUCUGUAAAGCGAGGACUUCCCAUGGCCAUUUUCCCUCUUGGGCUUCAGGCUGCUGAAUGGAAGAUCAAGAAGUGUGAAGGGUGCUUGGGGUCCUUGUGACUUGAGUGUUGCCUAGGACCCUGGCCCACAGGACCCAAGGGGCUUCUUGUCUCAGGUUGAAACCUUUUUAUCAGAAUGUCAUUUCCUUC